CUUAAACGAAAAUUUAAUGCUAGGUAAAAACUUCUUGAAAAGUGCUUGAUAAACUAAUAACUAAGUGCUUAAUAAAAUAUAAAAAGAAUUACAUUGGUAAUCCCGAACUUUUCCGUACCGUUGGCCUGCGUUGUCCAUUUUUUACCACUACGAAGAAUUUAUUUCAUGGAAACAAAAAGUUGGCUGUGUUGGUACGAAAUGCGACAGUGACAGAAUUCUUUCUUUUUUAUGUGAUUCGUUUCGGAUUUUUCAAGAAGGUGAUGAAAGAACAAAUGUAAACAUCUGAUAUUUUCAAUGCAAAACAUUCGAUGUGAAACGCGAAAUUAAACACACGUGCACAGGUGCAAUUGUAAUUCCAUUAAUUGUUCUGACAUUGUUAUCUUGAAAAA